CCUACGGUUGGCUGCAGUGGGGAAUAUUGGACAAUGGGCGAAAGCCUGAUCCAGCCAUGCCGCGUGUGUGAAGAAGGCCUUCGGGUUGUAAAGCACUUUCAGUGGGGAAGAAAGCCUUGGGGCUAAUACCCUCGAGGAAGGACAUCACCCACAGAAGAAGCACCGGCUAACUCCGUGCCAGCAGCCGCGGUAAUACGGAGGGUGCGAGCGUUAAUCGGAAUUACUGGGCGUAAGGCGCGCGUAGGCGGUCUGAUAAGCCGGUUGUGAAAGCCCCGGGCUCAACCUGGGAACGGCAUCCGGAACUGUCAGGCUAGAGUGCAGGAGAGGAAGGUAGAAUUCCCGGUGUAGCGGUGAAAUGCGUAGAGAUCGGGAGGAAUACCAGUGGCGAAGGCGGCCUUCUGGACUGACACUGACGCUGAGGUGCGAAAGCGUGGGUAGCAAACAGGAUUAGAUACCCCAGUAGUC
rnacentral:rRNA from 1 species